rfam:Triticum aestivum genome assembly, contig: Triticum_aestivum_CS42_TGACv1_scaffold_321520_4BL
GAUCUACUCCCUCCGUCUAAAAAUACUUUUCACUGAAAUGGAUGUAUCUAGAUGUAUUUUAGUUCUAAAUACAUCCAUUUUCAUUCAUUUUGAAGACAAGUAAUUCCGGACGGAGGGAGUACAUC